rnacentral:rRNA from 1 species
UACGUAGGGUGCGAGCGUUGUCCGGAUUUAUUGGGCGUAAAGAGCUCGUAGGCGGUUUGUCGCGUCGGCCGUGAAAUCUCCACGCUUAACGUGGAGCGUGCGGUCGAUACGGGCAGACUUGAGUUCGGUAGGGGAGACUGGAAUUCCUGGUGUAGCGGUGAAAUGCGCAGAUAUCAGGAGGAACACCGGUGGCGAAGGCAGCUCGCUGGGACGGUACUGACGCUGAGACGCGAAAGCGUGGGGAGCAAACAGG